AGAUACAGAAAGUUCACACGGACAACCCCCUCUGAAGGCCUCAACUACAUUUUCACUCAUCCCUGCAGUCUGUAUCACUGCAUUAUGGUUGUGUGAGUUUUCAAGCCAGAAGUCACGUAUGGAAGAUGCAAUCACAUGUAUGAGGAUGGCAAACAUUAUGAUGGCCCCUUCAUACCAACCGGUCCUUAGGCCUUCCACCUUGAUGCCAAACCCAAUUGACAGCAAUCCAGCCACAAAGAGAAGGACAAUGGUGUAAUUGUUGCACGAUUGAAGGAGAAGUUUGAAGAAGCUUGGAGCAGGAGCCUGUGUUGUCGAGAGUGCAUUGACCAUGCGUCGAUGACAAAUAUCUUCUUGUUCGCCUGAAAUUCCAAUUUGUAAAUCUGUGUUGAGUGCCUCUGCAAUCCCUAGGGUGCCUCCAAACUUCUGCAAGGAAACAAAAUCCUCGUCCUUCACUAUCUUGGCAACAUUUGCAUGCUGGAGUUCAGCAUCACUUGCAGUACUAUCCCUGCUCAAAUGGACAUCAGAAACUUGAGCAACAGUGCUGGUAACUGUAUAAUGGAUAGCGGAUGAUGAGGGUUGAGGAAGAGAUUGAGGAGAUGCCUUGUCAGCUCGAUUGGCUCUUGAUGAGAUGAGGAGUUUGCGCACUUGGAGGAUCACAAAAAUCCAGCGCCAGUGGUCGACUCGUGGCGGGUUGGUACCGGUUAUGAGCAACACCGUCUGCUGAGACUCGAGGUCUAAAUGGUGCCCAGAGCUUCUUGUGUCUGUCAUACUAGUAGCUAGCUGGUGGCUUUGGUGCUUAUCCAACCUUAUUGCAAAGACGAAAAUUAAUGCAAAAAUUAAAUGGAAGAGAUUGAGUUAAAACGA